rnacentral:misc_RNA from 1 species
GAUUGAAGAACGUAGCGAAAUGCGAUAAGUAAUGUGAAUUGCAGAAUUCAGUGAAUCAUCGAAUCUUUGAACGCACAUUGCGCCCGCCAGUAUUCUGGCGGGCAUGCCUGUUCGAGCGUCAUUUCAACCAUCAAGCCCUGCUUGCGUUGGGGUCCUGCGGCUGCCCGCAGGCCCUGAAAACCAGUGGCGGGCUCGCUAGUCACACCGAGCGCAGUAAUACAUCUCGCUUUGGGCGUGCGGCGGGUUCUUGCCGUUAAACACCCCCUUUUUACCAAGGUUGACCUCGGAUCAGGUAGGAAUACCCGCUGAACUUAAGCAUAUCAAUAAGCGGAGGA